AAUAAUGAUUUUAUUUGGUUGUCCGUCAGACAGAGGAGAUGGCAGACUAAUGGCCGGGAGAGCCAUCUUCCCCAAGUCAGAAUUCAGGCUCCUUUUAUACCAAAAAGGGAUGGGUGUGGUUGAUUGUUGCAAACUUAUUGGUGUCAGAAUCCUUUG